rnacentral:rRNA from 1 species
UGAGAAACCCGAAAGAUCGAAUGAAGAGAUUCAUCGUUAAUGUGAUUGGCUACCAUGUGGUAUACGAUGAGUUGAAAUUUAUUUUAACUUACGUUACUGCUGUGGUUGUGUCCAGUUACGUCGGCGUGCACUUCUCUUCUAGUAGAACGUCGCGACCCGCUGUGUGUCGUUUUAAGGACCAAGAUUGUCGACUAUACCGUCGCUUUUGGUGUUAUGUGUAUAGACACUUGGAUUUCCAAUCGACUGCUUGGCGGUAUAUUUAAAGGUAUUGAGCCGCACUUGAAUGCGUUCAGACUUGUUGCAAGCUCGAUCAUAUGCCUGGAGUGCGGACCUAGUGCCGUCCUGGGGAAUGAUUAGCUGUUGGUUAUAACAAUGUUCUCGAACUGGCUUAAUAUGCAAUACAGCAAUACCAGUCAGCGACGCUAUUGCUUUGGGUACUUUCAGGACCCGUCUUGAAACACGGACCAAGGAGUCUAACAUGUACGCGAGUCAUUGGGAUUUAGUAAAACCUAAAGGCAUAUUGAAAGAGAAGAUCGGUCUUGUGCCGAUUAAGGGAGGAUAAGCUAAGAAAUAUAGCUUCGCACUCCCGGGGCGUCUCUUAAAGUCAUUGCGACUUGAGGUGCACCCAGAGCGUACACGUUGGGACCCGAAAGAUGGUGAACUAUGCCUGGUCAGGAUGAAGUCAGGGGAAACCCUGAUGGAGGUCCGUAGCGUAUCUGACGUGCAAAUCGAUCGUCGGAACUGGGUAUAGGGG